rnacentral:rRNA from 1 species
AACGAACGCUGGCGGCGUGCUUAACACAUGCAAGUCGAACGAGAACGGAUUAUAGCUUGCUAUAAUUGUCAGCUAAGUGGCGCACGGGUGAGUAAUGUAUAGGUAAUAUGCCUCUUACUAAGGGAUAACAAAUGGAAACGUUUGCUAAUACCUUAUACUCCUUAUUAACAGAAGUUAAUAAGGGAAAGAUUUAUUGGUAAGAGAUUAGCCUGUAUUGUAUCAGUUAGUUGGUGGGGUAAUGGCUUACCAAGACUAUGACACAUAACUGGUUUGAGAGGAUGAUCAGUCACACUGGAACUGAGACACGGUCCAGACUCCUACGGGAGGCAGCAGUGGGGAAUAUUGCACAAUGGACGAAAGUCUGAUGCGGCAACGCCGCGUGGAGGAUGACACAUUUCGGUGCGUAAACUCCUUUUAUAUGAGAAGAUAAUGACGGUAUUAUACGAAUAAGCACCGGCUAACUCCGUGCCAGCCGCCGCCGUAA